UACGUAGGGGGCAAGCGUUGUCCGGAUUUAUUGGGCGUAAAGCGCGCGCAGGCGGCUGUUUAAGUCUGAUGUUUAAGGCAAGAGCUUAACUCUUGUUCGCAUCGGAAACUGGGCAGCUUGAGUGUAGGAGAGGAAAGUGGAAUUCCACGUGUAGCGGUGAAAUGCGUAGAGAUGUGGAGGAACACCAGUGGCGAAGGCGACUUUCUGGCCUAUAACUGACGCUGAGGCGCGAAAGCGUGGGGAGCAAACAGG
rnacentral:rRNA from 1 species